AGUAACACGUAGGUAACCUGCCCUGCAGUGGGGGAUACCCAGCCGAAAGGUUGGCUAAUACCGCAUUCGCUCGGCACUUGAAAUAGUGCUGAGGAAAGAUUUAUCGCUGUAGGAGGGGCCUGGGUCCGAUUAGCUAGUUGGUGAGGUAAUGGCUCACCAAGGCGACGAUCGGUAGCUGGUCUGAGAGGACGAUCAGCCACACUGGAACUGAGACACGGUCCAG
rnacentral:rRNA from 1 species